GCGGGUGUAGUUCAAUGGUAGAACAUCAGCCUUCCAAGCUGGAUACGUGGGUUCGAUUCCCAUCACCCGCU
rnacentral:tRNA from 2 species